rnacentral:rRNA from 1 species
AUGAAAAAGGGGAAAAAAGAGAUAGGAGUAACAGUAGCGUGUAUCCCAGAACACGUUGUAGCUAACGUAGCAGCAACGCUUUUCCCAGAACGUGCUACUGCUACUUCUGACUUAACCAUGGGGUUCGUCUUUCCCCAUGCAGCCACUUCCCCCAAAUCCAACUCUCUCCACUCUCGCCGCCGCCGUCGCCCGUCGGCCGCCGCGCGCUCUCCGCACACCCUCUACGCCGCCCCGAACCCAGAUUCAACGCCGCCCCCGCCCCCGACCUCAACACUGCCCCGGACGCCGCCCCCUACCCCGACCUCGACGCCGCCAUCCGCCGCGCGCCCGAGCCCCGACCCUGACCUCGACGCCGCCCUGCCCCUCCCUCGUUGUAGGCACCCAAGGUGA